AAAGCGUGCGCAGGCGGUUUUGUAAGUCUGAUGUGAAAUCCCCGGGCUCAACCUGGGAAUUGCAUUGGAGACUGCAAGGCUAGAAUCUGGCAGAGGGGGGUAGAAUUCCACGUGUAGCAGUGAAAUGCGUAGAUAUGUGGAGGAACACCGAUGGCGAAGGCAGCCCCCUGGGUCAAGAUUGACGCUCAUGCACGAAAGCGUGGGGAGCAAACAGGAUUAGAUACCCGAGU
rnacentral:rRNA from 1 species